UGUUGCAUGGUGCAGUGGUUAAGGCAUUGGCUCACCAUCCUGGAGGCGUGGGUUCGAUUCCCAUAGCCGCAG